rnacentral:rRNA from 1 species
UACGUAGGUGGCAAGCGUUAUCCGGAUUUACUGGGUGUAAAGGGCGUGUAGGCGGGGGCGCAAGUCAGAUGUGAAAACCACGGGCUCAACCUGUGGCCUGCAUUUGAAACUGUGUUUCUUGAGUACUGGAGAGGCAGACGGAAUUCCUAGUGUAGCGGUGAAAUGCGUAGAUAUUAGGAGGAACACCAGUGGCGAAGGCGGCUUACUGGACGAUGACUGACGCUGAGGCUCGAAAGCGUGGGGAGCAAACAGG